rnacentral:lncRNA from 1 species
GGGGGGGGGAGGGGGCCUUGAAUUUAGUCCCACAUCGGCUAGAGCGGAAAGGUUCCGUGCCUUAUAAUGAGGAGGGCGAAGCCUUUUCCUCACGAGGGCCCUUUUGUGGGACAAAACCGUGAGGGCAAUCCCCCCGUCAGCGCUGGACGCGCGGGCCGAAAACGUCUCCCUCCGUCAGCGCUGGACGCGCGGACCGGAGCGCCCAAAGCGGACAAUACCUCGUGGGGGACGCGGUCUCUUUCUGCUCGGCUCGGUUGGGACUAAG